GAUGAACGCUGGCGGCGUGCCUAAUACAUGCAAGUCGAGCGAAUGGAUUAAGAGCUUGCUCUUAUGAAGUUAGCGGCGGACGGGUGAGUAACACGUGGGUAACCUGCCCAUAAGACUGGGAUAACUCCGGGAAACCGGGGCUAAUACCGGAUAACAUUUUGAACCGCAUGGUUCGAAAUUGAAAGGCGGCUUCGGCUGUCACUGAUGGAUGGACCAGCGUCGCAUUAGCGAGUUGGUGAGGUAACGGCUCACCAAGGCAACGAUGCGUAGCCGACCUGAGAGGGUGAUCGGCCACACUGGGACUGAGACACGGCCCAGACUCCUACGGGAGGCAGCAGUAGGGAAUCUUCCGCAAUGGACGAAAGUCUGACGGAGCAACGCCGCGUGAGUGAUGAAGGCUUUCGGGUCGUAAAACUCUGUUGUUAGGGAAGAACAAGUGCUAGUUGAAUAAGCUGGCACCUUGACGGUACCUAACCAGAAAGCCACGGCCAACUACGUGCCAGCCGCCGCAGUAA
rnacentral:rRNA from 1 species